AACCACCUUCCGACAAUAUGAGACAAUAAGCAGCUUCCAAACGCUGUUGGGAGGAUUUUCAAGUCGUGACAAGUGAGAAACGCACAUGCAACAGUAUGGCUGCCAAAAAAAGUCUCUUUGGGGAACACAACACACCCGCUGUCAAGAGUCUUACUCAGGGUGAAUCUCCUGUGUCCAUGAAGAGUGCUGAAUCAAAGGAUACACCAGUAAACUUAAAGGACUCUUCUGCUGAUGUCAGUCUAAUUCAGGGUGAAUCUCCUAAGCCCAGCUGUGUGUCCAUAAAGAGUUAUGAAUCAAAGGAUACACCAGUUAACUUUAGGGAAUCUUCUUCUGAUGUCAGAUUUGAAGCUGCAUUGAUACUGCAUUUUAGAUCUUCAACCUGUUGGUUCCCAUUGAAGUCCAUUAUAUGGAGAAAAAUCCUGGAGGUUUUCCUCAAAAACCUUAAUUUCUUUGUGAAUGAAGAAAGAAAGACAUGUACAUUUUGGAUGACAUGGAAGUGAGUAAAUUAUCAGGAAAUUUUUAUUCGGGAAGUGAACUAAUCCUUUAAAGAAGUACUUGAUACAAAAUGUCUCAUGGUUCCCUAAGAAAAAAGGAACAAGAGGAUGUGUCCCCUGGGGGCCUUCAG
ensembl:lncRNA